rnacentral:ncRNA from 1 species
GGUGAACUAUGGCGGAUGCUAGAGUAAGCUAUGGUGGCGGCUCAAAGCGAUGCAGACGCGCAAAUCGUUUGUCUCACAUGGGUAUAGGGGGGGAAGUCUAGUUGUACC